rnacentral:ncRNA from 1 species
GGUUAAGCUAGUAAGAGCACACGGUGGAUGCCUAGGCGCUAGGAGCCGACGAAGGACGUGGCGAACAACGAUAAGGCCUCGGGGAGCUGUAAGCAAGCGUUGAUCCGGGGAUGUCCGGAAUGGGGAAACCUCACUGGAUUCAUCUCCAGUGACUCACAUCUGAAUACAUAGGGUGUGUAGAGGCAGACGAGGGGAACGUGAAACAUCUAAGUACCCUCAGGAAGAG